rnacentral:rRNA from 1 species
ACGCUGGCGGCAGGCUUAACACAUGCAAGUCGAGCGGGGGAAGGUAGCUUGCUACCGGACCUAGCGGCGGACGGGUGAGUAAUGCUUAGGAAUCUGCCUAUUAGUGGGGGACAACAUCUCGAAAGGGAUGCUAAUACCGCAUACGUCCUACGGGAGAAAGCAGGGGAUCUUCGGACCUUGCGCUAAUAGAUGAGCCUAAGUCGGAUUAGCUAGUUGGUGGGGUAAAGGCCUACCAAGGCGACGAUCUGUAGCGGGUCUGAGAGGAUGAUCCGCCACACUGGGACUGAGACACGGCCCAGACUCCUACGGGAGGCAGCAGUGGGGAAUAUUGGACAAUGGGGGGAACCCUGAUCCAGCCAUGCCGCGUGUGUGAAGAAGGCCUUAUGGUUGUAAAGCACUUUAAGCGAGGAGGAGGCUACUUUAGUUAAUACCUAGAGAUAGUGGACGUUACUCGCAGAAUAAGCACCGGCUAACUCUGUGCCAGCAGCCGCGGUAAUACAGAGGGUGCGAGCGUUAAUCGGAUUUACUGGGCGUAAAGCGUGCGUAGGCGGCCUAUUAAGUCGGAUGUGAAAUCCCCGAGCUUAACUUGGGAAUUGCAUUCGAUACUGGUGAGCUAGAGUAUGGG